rnacentral:lncRNA from 1 species
CCCUUGUCCUGGUGACUCGAUCGUAACUUCUUUAGCGUAACAAUCAACUUUAGCAUGAUGUCUUGUCAACCAAUCCAUGCCUAGUAUGAUAUCAAACUCUUGAAAAGGCAAUACUAUCAAGUCUGCUUUUAAUUCCGUAUUUCCUAUUUCGAUAGGACAGUCUCUAUAUAUUUGAUCUACUACUUCCACUUCUCCUAGUGGUGUAUGAACAUUUACUUUGAGAUCUAGUAUUUCAUGACUUCUAUGCAAGUGAGAUGUCAUUUUAGAUGAUAUGAAUGAAUGUGUUGAACCAGGGUCGAUAAGAGCAUACGCAUCUAAUUGAUAUAAGAGAACUUUACCCGUUAUAACCUCAGGUGCAACUUCUGCCUCUCCUCUCGUUAAUGCAAAAACUCGUGCCUGGGUUGGUGGAUUUGAACUUUGAGCCUGUGAUCUUCCAAUGCCUCCCCCAGUGCUACCUGUACCCUUCUUGCCUCUACCUCUUCCAAAAGAUGUACCAACUCCUUUCACUUCUACAUUCUGAACACUUGGUUCAGAUACAGCCUGUACAUUUUCCCUUUUGUUGGGACAGUCUCUAAUGAAAUGGCCUUGUUCCCCACACAAAUAACAUCCUCCCGUUUGAGCUCUACAUUGCCCAAAAUGUUGCCUUCCGCAAGUUUGACAUGUAGGCUUCACCUGUACAUUUGAACCUCGGCUAAGAGUUGGAUUUGAUCGAGGGUUAUUCAAUCUCCCGCCUUGAGCACCAGAAAAACCUCCUCUUGUAAUAGAUUUAGUGGGUGCACUAACAUUUGGACGCUUCUUAGGCCUUCCACCAGCCUCUCCAGCAAAUCUUGUUUCUUCUCUCUUUGACUUUGAGAAGAAAGCAGGCUUCUCUUUAAUCAAGCGUUCAGCUCGAAUCGCUGCAGCCCUCAAAUCUGUAUAACUCCUAAGUUCUCCAAUAGUAAUUUUACUCCUGAUCUCAUACUUGAGACCUUCCUCAAAACGUCUACAUUUGUCCCUCUCAGUUGCCACCAUUGAUGAGGCAUAUCGGGACAAUUGGGUGAACUUGACUUCGUACUCAGCUACCGUCAUAUUUCCUUGCUUCAAAUUCAAGAACUCUCUUUGUUUCUCAUCCCUAUAGAUCUCUGGCAUAUACUUAUCUUUAAACUCUCGCUGAAAAUCAUCCCAAGUAAGUUUUGGUGGUUGAGCAUCUGAGUCAGGAACAGUCUCCCACCAAUCAUAAGCAUCAUCUUGGAGUAAGGAUACUGCAUAAUCAAACUUCUCUUCGUCUCCGCAAUGCAUCAUAUUAAACACUCUCUUUGUCCUUUUUAACCAUGACUCAGCUUCAGUUGGAUCUACAGUACCAUAGAAAUCAGUCGCCCCUAAUUUCCUAAGUUCUUUAUAAUUCCGUUUAACUGGUGCAUUCCUACGUACAACUUGGGGUUCUGACAUAGCUUGCUGCUCAGGUACUUGUCUUUCUACUUCUACAGUGGCCUCAUGCCUAGAUUCUUGUGGAAUAGGUAUAGACUCCUCGUGUCUAGACUCAUGUGGAGUAUGUGAUCCACUACCAGAUGGUUGGUGGUCAGCUGGACUCCUUUGUGCAGCCUGUUCAUUGGAUGCUCCUUCCAUCGCCUUCUGCACAUAUAAACAUAUCUUAGAUACUAUAUCACUCAAAAAUCCUAACCGUACUUCUAUGCCCUAGAGGUCAUAUCCCUGCUCUGAUACCAACUAAAUGUAACACCCUUGUACCAUAUAAUCAUUUUCAUGCACUUCUAGCAAAAUCAUGUAAUUUAAUAAUAUUAUGAAAUAUCUUUUCCUGUAUAAGUGGAUAAUAUAACCAUCAGCUAUUGCUUGGCUAUAUCUUGAUCUUCACCAGAACAUAAAAUCUCAACUACUUCAACAACAUUUACCAAGCAACAUAAAAUUUCAAUACAUUUCCAUCAUCCAUAUUCACCACACAUAUUCAGAAUUUAAACAUAAAUUUAUCUUCGUGAUUUCUUGCACACUUAGUAAGUCUAGAGUACAUAAACACAAUCUCUCAAACUACAUAUAUGUGCAUCGGCUGAUGGAGGAGUCUGGAGCAUCCUGCUGGACCACCGUCUCUUAGGCACUAUCUACAAUCUCCACUGAGCACUCAUACAAAACACUCUACUAACUAUUCAUAUCCUGGAAAAAUGAGCGAUUUCCAUGAGUCGCAACUCAAUGAAUAUACAUCAACUUUAGUUUGUAAAAGAUACUGAGAUUGUCUGAAAAUAACUUGUAGCGUCUUUGGUAAAAUCUUCCAGAAAAUAAAAGAAAGUAAGGUUCUCGAAACAAUUGUAAGAAAAUAUUCAUUUUAAUAUAUAUUUCCUGUUCGUAUUUAUGAGAGCAAUUAAUAUCUUUCAUUCAUAAUAUUAUCAUCAUCCCAAAUUACACCAAGAUAUAACAUCAUCACAUAUAUGUUUUACUUAAUCAUAAAUCACUGACAUAUGUUAAUCAUAUAUGCCAUGAAAGUAUGAACUUGUAUCUAUGCAUGCAUGCAUCUCUGUUUCUCUUUCUUUUGCUAUUGUGAACAGUUCACUGUAUAAUGCCCGUGUUUCCACAUGUCCUCAAAGGAUCCAUGUGUGUCUGGCCAGCUCCGUCUAUGUCCGACUAUGGAAAUCGGCUCCGUCUAUGUCCGACAAAAGUCGGCUACCAACUCCUUUCACUUCUACAUUCUGAACACUUGGUUCAGAUACAGCAUGUACAUUUUUUCCAUAUUCUCUAAUGAAAUGGCCUUGUUCCCCACACAAAUAACAUCCUCCCGUUUGAGCUCUACAUUGCCCAAAAUGUUGCCUUCCGCAAGUUUGACAUGUAGGCUUCACCUGUACAUUUGAACCUCGGCUAAGAGUUGGAUUUGAUCGAGGGUUAUUCAAUCUCCCACCUUGAGCACCAGAAAAACCUCCUCUUGUAAUAGAUUUAGUGGGUGCACUAACAUUUGGACGCUUCUUAGGCCUUCCACCAGCCUCUCCAGCAAAUCUUGUUUCUUCUCUCUUUGACUUUGAGAAGAAAGCAGGCUUCUCUUUAAUCAAGCGUUCAGCUCGAAUCGCUGCAGCCCUCAAAUCUGUAUAACUCCUAAGUUCUCCAAUAGUAAUUUUACUCCUGAUCUCAUACUUGAGACCUUCCUCAAAACGUCUACAUUUGUCCCUCUCAGUUGCCACCAUUGAUGAGGCAUAUCGGGACAAUUGGGUGAACUUGACUUCGUACUCAGCUACCGUCAUAUUUCCUUGCUUCAAAUUCAAGAACUCUCUUUGUUUCUCAUCCCUAUAGAUCUCUGGCAUAUACUUAUCUUUAAACUCUCGCUGAAAAUCAUCCCAAGUAAGUUUUGGUGGUUGAGCAUCUGAGUUAGGAACAGUCUCCCACCAGUCAUAAGCAUCAUCUUGGAGUAAGGAUACUGCAUAAUCAAACUUCUCUUCGUCUCCACAAUGCAUCAUAUUAAACACUCUCUUUGUCCUUUUUAACCAUGACUCAGCUUCAGUUGGAUCUAUGGUACCAUAGAAAUCAGUCGCCCCUAGCUUCCUAAGUUCUUUAUAAUUCCGUUUAACUGGUGCAUUCCUACGAACAACUUGGGGUUCUGACAUAGCUUGCUGCUCAGGUACUUGUCUUUCUACUUCUACAGUGGCCUCAUGCCUAGAUUCUUGUGGAAUAGGUAUAGACUCCUCGUGUCUAGACUCAUGUGGAGUAUGUGAUCCACUACCAGAUGGUUGGUGGUCAGCUGGACUCCUUUGUGCAGCCUGUUCAUUGGAUGCUCCUUCCAUCGCCUUCUGCACAUAUAAACAUAUCUUAGAUACUAUAUCACUCAAAAAUCCUAACCGUACUUCUAUGCCCUAGAGGUCAUAN